AUGCAUCCCUUAAGUGUUUCAAUAGUGGUACUCUGGCUUCAACUGAAGGGUGUGAGCAGCCAGCAGAAGGUGCAGCAGACUCCGGAAUCCCUCAGUGUCCCAGAGGGAGCCAUGGCUUCCCUCAACUGCACUUACAGUGAUCAGAAUUCUCAGUAUUUCUGGUGGUACAGACAGCAUCCAGGGAAAGGCCCCAAGGCUCUGAUGUCCAUCUUCUCCAAUGGUGAAAAGGAAGAUGGUAGAUUUAGGGUUCAUCUCAAUAAAGCCAGCCUGCAUGUUUCCCUGCACAUCAGAGACUCGCAGCACAGUGACUCAGCUGUCUACCUGUGUGCAGUGAACACACAGUGCUCCCCAGGCACCUGCACCCUGUACCCAAACCUAUUGGGUGCUGCCAAGUCCUUAGAGCACAGACCACAGGCAAUGGAAAAUAAGAGCAAGGGUAGAGAGCAUUUGAUUGGUUGA